CGCGGGAUGGAGCAGUGGUAGCUCGCCGGGUUCAUUCCCCGGAGGUCGCGGGUUCGAGUCCCGCUCCCGCCA
rnacentral:tRNA from 1 species